GACGAACGCUGGCGGCGUGCUUAACACAUGCCAGUCGAACGGAAAGGCUCCAGCUUGCUGGCGUACUCGAGUGGCGAACGGGUGAGUAACACGUGGGUAAUCUGCCCUGCACUCUGGGAUAAGCCUGGGAAACUGGGUCUAAUACUGGAUAUGACCUUUCUCCUUAUGGGGUUUGGUGGAAAGUUUUUCGGUGUAGGAUGAGCCCGCGGCCUAUCAGCUUGUUGGUGGGGUGAUGGCCUACCAAGGCGACGACGGGUAGCCGGCCUGAGAGGGUGAUCGGCCACAUUGGGACUGAGAUACGGCCCAGACUCCUACGGGAGGCAGCAGUGGGGAAUAUUGCACAAUGGGCGGAAGCCUGAUGCAGCGACGCCGCGUGAGGGAUGACGGCCUUCGGGUUGUAAACCUCUUUCAGCAGGGACGAAGCGUAAGUGACGGUACCUGCAGAAGAUGCACCGGCUAACUAUGUG
rnacentral:rRNA from 1 species